rnacentral:rRNA from 1 species
CCUACGGGGGACAGCAGUGGGGAAUAUUGCACAAUGGGGGGAACCCUGAUGCAGCAACGCCGCGUGAAGGAAGACGGUUUUCGGAUUGUAAACUUCUAUCAAUAGGGAAGAAAGAAAUGACGAUACCUAAAUAAGAAGCCCCGGCUAACUACGUGCCAGCAGCCGCGGUAAUACGUAGGGGGCAAGCGUUAUCCGGAUUUACUGGGUGUAAAGGGAGCGUAGACGGCUAAUCAAGUCAGAAGUGAAAACCCAUGGCUCAACCUUGGGACUGCUUUUGAAACUGAGUAGCUAGAGUGCAGGAGAGGUAAGCGGAAUGCCUAGUGUAGCGGUGAAAUGCGUAGAUAUUAGGAGGAACACCAGUGGCGAAGGCGGCUUACUGGACUGUAACUGACGUUGAGGCUCGAAAGCGUGGGGAGCAAACAGGAUUAGAUACCCCAGUAGUC